CCCAGCGGCAGGAACCCUGACACUGUCUCCUCUUACUGGAGGGUGAGACAGGUGAGUGGUGCGACCUCCAGGCCAGAGUCACCUGACACUGUCUCCUGUUACUGGAGGGUGAGACAGGUGAGACAGGUGAGUGGUGCGACCUCCAGGCCAGAGUCACCUGACACUGUCUCCUGUUACUGGACGGUGAGACAGGUGAGUGGUGCGACCUCCAGGCCAGAGUCACCUGACACUGUCUCCUGUUACUGGACGGUGAGACAGGUGAGUGGUGCGACCUCCAGGCCAGAGUCACCUGACACUGUCUCCUGUUACUGGACGGUGAGACAGGUGAGUGGUGCAACCUCCAGGCCAGAGUCACCCGUCACUGUCUCCUGUUACUGGACAGUGAAGGGUGAGACUGGUGAGUGGUGCGACCUCCAGGCCAGAGUCACCUGACACUGUCUCCUGUUACUGGACGGUGAAGGGUGAGACAGGUGAGUGGUGCGACCUCCAGGCCAGAGUCACCUGACACUGUCUCCUGUUACUGGAGGGUGAGACAGGUGAGUGGUGCGACCUCCAGGCCAGAGUCACCUGACACUGUCUCCUGUUACUGGACGGUGAAGGGUGAGACAGGUGAGUGGUGCGACCUCCAGGCCAGAGUCACCUGACACUGUCUCCUGUUACUGGACGGUGAUGGGUGAGACAGGUGAGUGGUGCGACCUCCAGGCCGGAGUCACCCGACACAUCUCCUGUUACUGGACGGUGGAGGGUGAGACAGGUGAGUGGUGCGACCUCCAGGCCGGAGUCACCUGACACUGUCUCCUGUUACUGGAGGGUGAGACAGGUGAGUGGUGCGACCUCCAGGCCGGAGUCACCUGACACUCUCCUGUUACUGGACGGUGAGACAGGUGAGUGGUGCGACCUCCAGGCCAGAGUCACCUGACACUGUCUCCUGUUACUGGACGGUGAGACAGGUGAGUGGUGCGACCUCCAGGCCGGAGUCACCUGACACUGUCUCCUGUUACUGGAGGGUGAGACAGGUGAGUGGUGCGACCUCCAGGCCGGAGUCACCUGACACUGUCUCCUGUUACUGGACGGUGAUGGG
rnacentral:lncRNA from 1 species